UGGGGGAUAUUGCACAAUGGGGGGAACCCUGAUGCAGCGACGCCGCGUGAGUGAAGAAGUAUUUCGGUAUGUAAAGCUCUAUCAGCAGGGAAGAAAAUGACGGUACCUGACUAAGAAGCCCCGGCUAACUACGUGCCAGCAGCCGCGGUAAUACGUAGGGGGCAAGCGUUAUCCGGAUUUACUGGGUGUAAAGGGAGCGUAGACGGCAAUGCAAGUCUGGAGUGAAAGCCCAAGGCCCAACCAUGGGACUGCUCUGGAAACUGUGUAGCUUGAGUGCAGGAGGGGUAAGCGGAAUUCCUAGUGUAGCGGUGAAAUGCGUAGAUAUUAGGAGGAACACCGGUGGCGAAGGCGGCUUACUGGACUGCAACUGACGUUGAGGCUCGAAGGCGUGGGGAGCAAACAGG
rnacentral:rRNA from 1 species